CCUACGAGGCGCAGCAGUGAGGAAUAUUGGUCAAUGGGCGGAAGCCUGAACCAGCCAAGUAGCGUGCGGGAUGAAGGCCCUACGGGUCGUAAACCGCUUUUGCACGGGGAUAACACCCUCCACUUGUGGAGGUCUUCAGGUACCGUGCGAAUAAGGGCCGGCUAAGUCCGUGCCAGCAGCCGCGGUAAUACGGAAGGCCCGAGCGUUAUCCGGAUUCAUUGGGCUUAAAGGGAGCGUAGGCGGGCGUUCAAGUCAGCUGUACAAUCGCGCGGCUCAACCGUGCCCCGCAGUUGAAACUGGACGCCUUGAGUUCACAACAGGCAGGCGGAAUUCGUGGUGUAGCGGUGAAAUGCAUAGAUACCACGAGGAACACCGAUUGCGAAGGCAGCCUGCCGGGGUGCGACUGACGCUGAGGCUCGAAGGUGCGGGUAUCAAACAGGAUUAGAUACCCUUGUAGUC
rnacentral:rRNA from 1 species